AACGUAGGAGGCAAGCGUUAUCCGGAUUUAUGGGGUUUAACGGGGGCGUAGGCGGCCUAUUAAGUUAGUGGUGAAAACGUUCGGCUUAACCGGAUACCCGCCAUUGAUACUGAUAGACUUGAGUGCGACAGAGGGUGUUGGAAUGUGUGGUGUAGCGGUGAAAUGCUUAGAUAUCACGCAGAACACCAAUUGCGAAGGCAGAUGCCUAUGUCGUAACUGACGAUGAGGCACGAAAGCGUGGGGAGCAAACAGG
rnacentral:rRNA from 1 species